CAGUAAAAAUGAGCCCAGCUUUCCUACAGGGUGCAUGGCAAAACUGUCAGCAAACCCAGGGAACAGUCUUAACUUUAUUUAAAUAAUGGUCUGUGACAAAGAACUGCUCCAUUGUUCCAGAGUAAGUGCUGACCCAUCUCCCUGGGCUCAGAAGAGGAAGUUUCUUGGCUGUUUCAUCCUGCACAGACCCACGCAUGCAGACAAGCAAAAUAAACUGAACCCAAGGGCUUGAUGGAGGCACGCUGAGGAAGUGUCUCGAGCAAAAACUGCUGAGAAGGGCCUAACACUGGAAAAACACCAGUGUGAGUCACUUAUUUAAUAAUCAUUUAAGAUAUCCAAUACAUAAUUCAACAGAAUUUGAGGAUCCUGGCUGGAACCAGGACCAAGCAGUCAA